rnacentral:lncRNA from 1 species
ACAGACAGCAGUUCUCACCUUCUAUCAAGAAACUGAUCUCCACCAACACAUCACAGCUCCCAAAAGCCAUCAGGAUUUGCCCUUAGCAGUGUCGUAAGCUUCCUUAUAAGGACAACUUUUAGCAGAACCUGUCCUAGAAACAAUUUUAUUCAAAGGCGUUAUUUCUUCAAGAGAGAAAACUCUAGGAAACUAAAGAGAAGAGAGAAGAGAAUCUCAAAUGGUGACGGUUUUUUUCAACCUCAUCUACACCUCAAUUUUAAGACAUUUUAUAAUAUUUAAGAAUUAGCAGAGAGGUUACAAGAUAGAAAUUAGAAACUACCAAAGACUGUUCAUUUAAAAGUAUCUAUUGUCCAUGAAAUCCAGCUGAAAGGCUCUAUCAGUUACUAAAACAUCCCUGGAAGCCAACUGCUUUCAAAAAGACCUCUACCACUAGCCUAAGAUGGUGCCACUAGCAUAUUAUGAUCAACCCUUUGUGCCAUUAGCACACUCUUACCAACUGGCCACAACCAACUCAUUAACACCUCAAUGUACGGGUGAAAAACUAAAUCAACCCAAUGACCAAUCUGUGGUCAGAGUUCAAUCUCAUAAUGAUAACCCUGCAGCUCCUCCACUAAACUCCAACCAGAAGGUGCAGAGAUCCUCAAUAUUGCCCUCUGCCAAGUCUCAGGACACAAUUUCACCGGGCUUCUACAACAGGGUUUUAAAAUCACCAUUGCCCCACUCCGAACGUCAGGCCACACCUUCAUUAAACCUCCCCUGGAGAACUUCAUUGCGGCCUAAUCAGAGAACCCUGAACUCACCUUUUUUUCAUCCCAAACCUCAGACGACAUCUUCGCUUGACCUUAAGAAGACAUCGACAUCACUGGAGCCCAGUCAAACAGCCUUGAGAUCACAAUUACCCUUCCCCAAAACUUGGAAAACAUCUUCCCCAGACCUUUGCUGGACGUCACCUUCACUGAAGUCUAAUCAAAGAGUCUCCAGUUCAUCAUUAUCCCCCUUCAAAUAUCAAGAAACACCUUCCCUAGACAACCUGUGGACAUCACCUUCUUUGGGACCCAAUCAAAGAGCCCUUAACUCAACAUUACCUCACACUAAGACUGAGAAAACAUUUCCAUUGAACAGUCUUUGGACAUCUUUAUUAGAGCACAACCAAAGAUCUUUGAGCUCACCAUCACUGAACUCGAUACCUCAAACAAACGAUGUGCUUCACUCAUCACCUUCAAUGGAGCCCAGUCAAAUGGCUCUGAGCUCACAGUUACCUGACUCCAGACCUCGGACAAUACCUAUAUUGAGCUCUAAUUCCAGUAUUCUGAGCUUAUCAUUGUCUAAUUCAAAAUCGAAGCUGUCACCUUUACCACAUUCUGUCCACCAGACUCAGAGUUUGCCACUGUUCCGGCCCAAACCUCAGACGAUGCUUACACUUGAUCGUGACGUCAGGACUCUGAGCUCACCAAUUUGUCACUCCAAGUUUCAGAACACCAUUUCACCAAAUGACAAAUACAGAGCCACAGGUUUAUCUUCUCCUUAUCCCAAACUGAACGUCUCAGGUCGAUCCUUAUCAAGCUCCACACACCGCAUCAGGAACAAAGCUGCUUCAACACUGGGCUCCAGACUCCUGAUGAGUUCAAUAAGAUAGACGAUUCAGCACUAACAAAGCCACAAGAGGAGAGACUUGAUGCUUCACCUCCAGCCCUUCACAUCUAAGGGUGAUGCUCCAGGUAAGGGGACCACCUCCAACCCUUCACAUCUGAGUUAUGCUCCAGCAUUAGGGGAGCACCUCCAUCCCUUCACAUCUAUGGGUGAUGCUCCAGGUUAGGGGACCCUGUAGGAAGGUUGUUGAAAGAUCUGUCGAUGAAAGGUUGAUAGAUUAUCUCUACCUCCAAACACCGAUGUCUCAGUGAUUGGCUUUCUGUGCACAGAAACUUGAGAUUAAAAGGUUUGGUAUCAGAACCAGUGCUAAAGAAGAGUGGUCUUCUUUCCUCCAAAACUAUUUUAUAUUUUAAGGCAUUUUGGUCAUAAUCUUUAAGCAUAGAAAAUCAUGUUAUUGUUUAUUAUCACCCUCAUGAUACACCCAUUAGAGCCUCAAUAUUUAAUGCUUGAUUCAUUUUCCAUACAUUUCAAAAUACAAAUAUAUUAAGUCCACAAACAGCUUAAUGUAUAGAUUGCUUAUCUCAAUAAAAGUUUUAUGCUUUUCUAGGGUCUUAGGCA